rnacentral:rRNA from 1 species
AGAAGUUUGAUUCAUGGCUCAGGAUGAACGCUGGCGGCGUGCCUAAUACAUGCAAGUCGAGCGAACGGACGAGAAGCUUGCUUCUCUGAUGUUAGCGGCGGACGGGUGAGUAACACGUGGAUAACCUACCUAUAAGACUGGGAUAACUUCGGGAAACCGGAGCUAAUACCGGAUAAUAUUUUGAACCGCAUGRUUCAAAAGUGAAAGACGGUCUUGCUGUCACUUAUAGAUGGAUCCGCGCUGCAUUAGCUAGUUGGUAAGGUAACGGCUUACCAAGGCAACGAUGCAUAGCCGACCUGAGAGGGUGAUCGGCCACACUGGAACUGAGACACGGUCCAGACUCCUACGGGAGGCAGCAGUAGGGAAUCUUCCGCAAUGGGCGAAAGCCUGACGGAGCAACGCCGCGUGAGUGAUGAAGGUCUUCGGAUCGUAAAACUCUGUUAUUAGGGAAGAACAUAUGUGUAAGUAACUGUGCACAUCUUGACGGUACCUAAUCAGAAAGCCACGGCUAACUACGUGCCAGCAGCCGCGGUAAUACGUAGGUGGCAAGCGUUAUCCGGAAUUAUUGGGCGUAAAGCGCGCGUAGGCGGUUUUUUAAGUCUGAUGUGAAAGCCCACGGCUCAACCGUGGAGGGUCAUUGGAAACUGGAAAACUUGAGUGCAGAAGAGGAAAGUGGAAUUCCAUGUGUAGCGGUGAAAUGCGCAGAGAUAUGGAGGAACACCAGUGGCGAAGGCGACUUUCUGGUCUGUAACUGACGCUGAUGUGCGAAAGCGUGGGGAUCAAACAGGAUUAGAUACCCUGGUAGUCCACGCCGUAAACGAUGAGUGSUAAGUGUUAGGGGGUUUCCGCCCCUUAGUGCUGCAGCUAACGCAUUAAGCACUCCCCGCCC